GACGAACGCUGGCGGCGUGCUUAACGCAUGCAAGUCUAACGGAAAGGCCCUGCUUUUGUGGGGUGCUCGAGUGGCGAACGGGUGAGUAACACGUGAGUAACCUGCCCUUGACUUUGGGAUAACUUCAGGAAACUGGGCCUAAUCCCGAAUGGGGCCUCUGGCGUAUGGGUGGGGUUGGGAAAUUUUCGGCGGUUGGGGAUGGACUCGCGGCUUAUCAGCUUGUUGGUGGGGUAGUGGCUUACCAAGGCUUUGACGGGUAGCCGGCCUGAGAGGGUGACCGGCCACAUUGGGACUGAGAUACGGCCCAGACUCCUACGGGAGGCAGCAGUGGGGAAUAUUGCACAAUGGGCGGAAGCCUGAUGCAGCAACGCCGCGUGCGGGAUGACGGCCUUCGGGUUGUAAACCGCUUUCGCCUGUGACGAAGCGUGAGUGACGGUAAUGGGUAAAGAAGCACCGGCUAACUACGUG
rnacentral:rRNA from 1 species